rnacentral:rRNA from 1 species
UACGCAGGGGGCUAGCGUUGUUCGGAAUCACUGGGCGUAAAGCGCACGUAGGCGGCUUUGUAAGUUAGAGGUGAAAGCCCGGAGCUCAACUCCGGAAUUGCCUUUAAGACUGCAUCGCUAGAAUUGUGGAGAGGUGAGUGGAAUUCCGAGUGUAGAGGUGAAAUUCGUAGAUAUUCGGAAGAACACCAGUGGCGAAGGCGACGCACUGGACACAUAUUGACGCUGAGGUGCGAAAGCGUGGGGAGCAAACAGG